rnacentral:lncRNA from 1 species
UGGAAGCACACUGGAUUGCAAAACUAAAGAAAAAAUGCAUCAGUCAUCCUUCUGUUUCAUUGCUAGAUAAAGAGAAUUCACUCCUGUCAUCAUAUCUAUAACGUAUUUUCAUCUUAAGUGCUUGUUUUUGCACAUUGCUGUUUUUAUGUUGACCGGGUCGCGCUGAUCAGUGCUAUUUUUAUCACAAAUGUUGUUAUAUGAGCUAUUGAUGUGUUCUGUUGACUGGAUUGCGCAGAUAUGUGGGUUCUUCGAAAAUAAAAUCAUUAGAAAGCGCUCGUCCUUGUGUUGCUCCUUUCUUCGUCCUUCUUUGUUUGCAUGCUAAAAGUUUUUUUAAAGAAGGACCAGUACUGCUAUAUUCUUCCUACUCUUGUGGCCAGAAACCGUAGUCUACUUAGUACUAACAAAUUAAAAAAUAUGCACACUGUUGUGCUUGCUUUUCAUUACUGCAGAGCAGUGAUUCUUUUUUUUUUUUUUUUUUCUCGUAUGUGACAAAAUAAGCCGGACACAACAACAUGUGCAUGUAGUUAUCUUGGAUAAGACAAAUAGAGCUUCACAUUCACUGUUUAAGUUGAUAUAGUAAACAUGUCAUGUCACUAUUGAAGUCAAGCUCAGCACACGAGUCUAUUUUUCUAGAUGGUGAUAAACUUGUUAUCUCAUGUUGACUUACACAGCUCUUUAUACCACUUGGAAGGAAUAGUGGAAGUGCAUUUUCAAAAUUCCAUAGUGAUGUAUACAGCCCAGACCUUUUUCUGUACACGUCUGUGCAUAUGGAGUGAAUAAUGCACUUAUUCAAUUUAAUGGCUUUACUGAACUGGAC